AUGCUGCACCGUCUUUACACUUAUUAUUUCAUUAAAUCUUUUCGACUAGGAAAAAAAAGAAAAAAGAAAGAAAGAAAAAAGCAUGCUAGGGGGAUCACACCAGCCAAGACCUGCCAUGGCAAGAAAUCCCACUCAGGUUCCAGUGAGCACCCCAGACUUGGAUGUUCACCAACGGAUGGAGCUGGGGAAGAACCUGGAACAAAACCCAUGAAUCUGCCAUGUUGUGGUCAUCUGUCAGCUGUGGUCAUUUUGUAAUUAUUUCCAAGUGUGGUGAUGUAUUUUCUGAAAAUCCCUCUUGCCUUCAAAGGGACUGAACUUUCCGCCUGACUCUGCAGGCAACCUGCGGCUUUCCUGUUUACUCGGCAGGGUAAGCUUAACUUGCCUUUAAGAGAACAAUGUAACCAAACUUAGUAUGCCUUAGAUUUCCCCUGCAGUC
rnacentral:lncRNA from 1 species